UACGUAGGGCGCAAGCGUUGUCCGGAAUUAUUGGGCGUAAAGAGCUCGUAGGCGGUUUGUCGCGUCGGGUGUGAAAGCUUGGGGCUUAACCCCAAGUCUGCAUCCGAUACGGGCAGACUAGAGGCAGGUAGGGGAGAACGGAAUUCCUGGUGUAGCGGUGAAAUGCGCAGAUAUCAGGAGGAACACCGGUGGCGAAGGCGGUUCUCUGGGCCUGUACUGACGCUGAGGAGCGAAAGCGUGGGGAGCGAACAGG
rnacentral:rRNA from 1 species